rnacentral:rRNA from 1 species
UACGGAGGAUCCAAGCGUUGUCCGGAUUUAUUGGGUUUAAAGGGUGCGUAGGCGGGUUAUUAAGUCAGUGGUGAAAGCCUACAGCUUAACUGUAGAAUUGCCAUUGAUACUGAUGAUCUUGAGUAUGAUUGAGGUGGGCGGAAUGUGUCAUGUAGCGGUGAAAUGCUUAGAUAUGACACAGAACACCGAUUGCGAAGGCAGCUCACUAAGUCAUAACUGACGCUGAUGCACGAAAGCGUGGGGAGCAAACAGG